UCAGCAUGUUUUACUCGUGUGGUGUAUGGGAGCAUAGACCUUGGUCUGUUAUGUACAGUCCCAUUCCACAAUGUUGGAGAACAAGCAUUCCCAGUUUUUAAGCUGGUGAGGACUGCUUGUAUAUACCUAGGCCUUGCCUGUCUGGUGACUGGGGAGAUGAAUGAUGCAUGAGACAGUA